rnacentral:rRNA from 1 species
UACGUAGGGGGCAAGCGCUGUCCGGAUUUAUUGGGCGUAAAGAGCGUGUAGGCGGCCAGGUAGGUCUGCUGUGAAAACUCGAGGCUUAACCUCGAGCUGUCGGCGGAAACCAUCUGGCUAGAGUCCGGAAGAGGAGAAUGGAAUUCCCGGUGUAGCGGUGAAAUGCGCAGAUAUCGGGAAGAACACCCGUGGCGAAGGCGGUUCUCUGGGACGGUACUGACGCUGAGACGCGAAAGCGUGGGGAGCGAACAGG